rnacentral:tRNA from 1 species
GGGCUCGUGGUCUAGCUGGUUAUGACGUCGCCUUCACACGGCGGAGAUCGCCGGUUCAAAUCCGGCCGAGCCCA